rnacentral:rRNA from 1 species
AUUGAACGCUGGCGGCAGGCCUAAACACAUGCAAGUCGAGCGGCAGCGGAAAGUAGCUUGCUACUUUGCCGGCGAGCGGCGGACGGGUGAGUAAUGUCUGGGAAACUGCCUGAUGGAGGGGGAUAACUACUGGAAACGGUAGCUAAUACCGCAUGACCUCGAAAGAGCAAAGUGGGGGAUCUUCGGACCUCACGCCAUCGGAUGUGCCCAGAUGGGAUUAGCUAGUAGGUGAGGUAAUGGCUCACCUAGGCGACGAUCCCUAGCUGGUCUGAGAGGAUGACCAGCCACACUGGAACUGAGACACGGUCCAGACUCCUACGGGAGGCAGCAGUGGGGAAUAUUGCACAAUGGGCGCAAGCCUGAUGCAGCCAUGCCGCGUGUGUGAAGAAGGCCUUAGGGUUGUAAAGCACUUUCAGCGAGGAGGAAGGCAUCAUACUUAAUACGUGUGGUGAUUGACGUUACUCGCAGAAGAAGCACCGGCUAACUCCGUGCCAGCAGCCGCGGUAAUACGGAGGGUGCAAGCGUUAAUCGGAAUUACUGGGCGUAAAGCGCACGCAGGCGGUUUGUUAAGUCAGAUGUGAAAUCCCCGCGCUUAACGUGGGAACUGCAUUUGAAACUGGCAAGCUAGAGUCUUGUAGAGGGGGGUAGAAUUCCAGGUGUAGCGGUGAAAUGCGUAGAGAUCUGGAGGAAUACCGGUGGCGAAGGCGGCCCCCUGGACAAAGACUGACGCUCAGGUGCGAAAGCGUGGGGAGCAAACAGG